UUACCAUUAUUCAAAGUCCAAAAUUUUGGUAUGUAUAAUUUAAACAAAAAGAAGAAGAAGGAGCAAAAAUGUCUAAGCAAAAUUAGUACCAGUAGUACAAUAAAGAUACAGAAUGAUUCAAAAUGAUUAAUCUAUAAUGGUAUUAAGAGCAGGGCACACAGAUUUAUAGAAAAAUUAAGGAAAAGCAUACAAGCUUAAACGCUUUCAUGUUCACUACUAGGAGGAUCCGAUUCACCACCAGUAGAUGUGACAUGUGUAUCGACUUUUUCCAAAGAUGCAGGUGCUUUUUCAGGUGGGAAGGUAGGGUUAAGGACACCUGUAUUUGGUUUUGGUGGAGGAUGGGCAUCUUCGUCUUUGCCAGGAUAGCAAAGAUCAUUGACGAGAAACGCACGGACCAUUAAAUACAUUAGGAGGAUCCACUGAAUACAAAGAAUGACCCCAAUGAUAUGUCCAAACAUUUGGAAAGCUUUGGAAUCUAUCAUUUUACCUAUCUCAAUGGUACAAUUAACAAAACCCACGUUGGGGAAAAUGAAUGCAAACCAUCCACAAGCAAACUUGAGAGGGGCUCGAGUGAAAAAGCCCGCUAAAAAGCUAACCAUGGCGAGACAGUAACACCAAGCAGCAAGACCCCAAAUAAAAAUAGCCAUAAAGGUAGAAACAAAACCAAGAUACUCGGAUGAGUUGGCGCCAACAAAAAUAUAAGGGCGACUGCCCAUAGCACCACGCGCAAUAUUAAUUAAGGCCAAACCUGAGAAAGCUGGUGGACCGACAAACAUAAACAUACCAGGUCGAUCUUGGGGUUUUGCCAGGCCUACAGUAAAAAACCGUAAGACAUUGACGGCAAACAGUAAAAGAUAAACCCAAAAACCAAGUCCUUGAAAGAGGAUACCAAAGAUAACCAUAUUUUUUAAUUGAUGAGCGGGUUGUGUAGAAUUGACGGCGCCAGCAAUGACACCACAAAUCAUAGGAGGGAAAAUAGGAAGAAUCCAAGCAGGAGAUGCGGUUUCAAUGGUAUAUACAUGGUUGUUGAAAAUUGUAAAAAAAGCCAUUACGCAGUAUAUAAAGGAUACUGCAACGUAAAUGUAAUAAAGGAUUCGAAUGACCCACACCAUCCACUCGCCGGUAUCAGGAUAGGCGUAUAUGGCAAGCAUGUCGAUGAACGUGGAUAUUGAAAGAAGACAAGUAGCAAUGAAAAGCUUUUCCAAAUGAUGGUUCCAGGAAUCCUUGAUAGUUGAAGGAUAUUUAAUAAAGCGAAAAAGCAUGCAUGAUCCAAAGAGAGAAAACAAAAAGAUUUGAAGAAUAUAAACAAUUUUGCCAAUUGUAUUAAGACCAUAAAAUCGAAAGGGGAAAGAACCAAUAAUCAAACCAACACCACCAGUUGCCAUAGUACAUGCAAACCAAGACCAUGUAAAAUGCUUCAGUCGUUGACUGAGAGGGACAUGAGGGGCUUUGACAUUCCAGUCAAGCAACUCAUGAUACCUCUGUUUCAAGAUUUCCUUGAGUUCACCCAUGUCGAAUCGAGAGAUAAAGGGGAAUUAAAAAAAAAAAUAGUGGCCAAGAGAGAAAAUGAAGAAUGAAUAUAAUAUAAUAUAAUAUAAGGAGAAAAAGGAACAAAAAGGAAAAGACGGAGGAAGGAAAGAGACAACCAAUUGCUAGCAAUUUAUCUGUGAGUCUAAUCGCACAUGUUAGUUAUCGUGAUGAAAAUAAAAAAUGAUAGAGAGUGUAAAAAAUGAAUGACUGGCUGUUGCUAGUCUUAGUAAAUGAGGCAAACUGCCGAUACAGAAGUAGGAUGAGAAAUCAAACAAAAAGUCUAGUGCAGCAACAAAUAAGCUUAUUUUGUGUAGCAAACAAGUAAAAGAAAACAAAAAUAGAACAAACAAAUAGUGAUCAACUUAGAAAUCAACAAGAAAAGAUGCAUACAAAUCCAAAUUUCCAAGAUUUUCGAGGGGCAACUUUCUACCAACAGAUUGCAACGUUGAUCCUCAUCGCAAACAAACUGGCACUACACAACAAAAAGCCAAACUAUACAGUCAUCCUACAAAACAAAAACUUACCGAUGGACCUGGCCAACCCAACAACUUCAGCAAUGAAUGACUGACUGGAUAAGUCAAAUUCGAGCCACUAUAUUUAUAUCUCUUGGAAGCUUAACGAAUUUAACCAACCUGCUGUCAAAUGCACAAACCUUCGCUAACCUUGUGAGAGUGGAGAUAGCAAAAUUUUUUCUUUUAUGCCGAGGAGAUGCUAAUUAUGCUGCUAUGAAGUCGGUCAAGAGUAAAUCUGGUCCUUAUAUGACGCAAGCUAGAUCUAGAUUAAUGCUAUAGGCAUACGAAACUUUGGUAUUAAAAAAAAAAAAAAAAAAAAAAAAAAAAAAAAAAACUAA